rnacentral:lncRNA from 1 species
GGGGGAGUGAAGCACUCCUUCUCAGGCAGCCUGGGGGGGCUGCUCCUCACUGGACCUCCCAGGGAUCUGUGAGCAUAGUCUGUCCCUUAUCUUGUUUUUCUCUCAGUUUCAGCAGUGGUCACUAGCCAGUCCUGUGUCCGGUGUCCAGUGAUGUCCCAGUGGCAUUCGAAUGGCCCCCAUAUCUCCCACCAGCACCCACCUCUAUUCCCUUGUACAGUGGAAACGUGUGCAGCUCCUGUUUACCAUGUACCGUAAAAGGUCAGGUAGUGUGACUGGCCUUCUCCCCACUGCCCUCCCUACUGACCCCCUGCUCAGUUAAUCCUGUGGCUUACAUCCUCACCCUGAAGCCUGAUGUGAUAGGCUCUGAAGUCCAGCCAUAGGUCCUUCCUAACCUUGGUACAGGCCUAGGAGUUAACCUCCAGGGCAGGGAGUGGGAGAAUUAUCCAUCCUCGGCAUUUGUGACCCUUUCUAUUUUGAAGCACUUGCACAGAUCUGUCACAUGGACAUCUACUUUCGGGGCCAGCUGCUGGUUGGAGGUGGUGUGACUGGGCCUGGAAAUGGUAGGUCAGGGGAGGAGCCGUGUAACCAGACCAGUGCCAGCUUUGCAUUGGCACCAUGUGCAGAUGGCUUGGAGGUUUGCAGGGAACGCGGGAAGUACCCAUUGUUCCCAGCCCCUCUACUGCCCUGAGAAUCAUGAUCAUAAAGGGGACAUUAUGUUCGUUCACAUUUGUGGAAUGUGCCUCUUAGGUGUUGGUCACUGUGCUUUCAAGUUUCCCCAUUUUUCUAUGACAUAGCAUUACUAUUGCCUCCAUUUUACAGAUAAAGCUGAGGCUUAGGGGAUGUCAUAACUUGCAUAGGAGCUCACUGCUACUAAAUGGUGGGCUGGGCUUUAAAUCCAGGUGAUUUGACUCUAGGUUUUAACCGCCGUGAGACGUUGCCCUGUCCAGUUCUUAGAGGCUGAUAUCCAGGCAGUAUCAUUGAUGCUCUUGUUGCCUCUGAGGUCACAGGAAGUGCUAACGGCUCCGGGAGGUGGGUCUCCCCUUUGCCUGCCUUGUUGUACCUUGAGGACUACUGUGUGUGGCCACACUGGUGCCAGCAAAGACCUCCGAGUCUUGCCUGAGCUGUGAGCUUCCCUAAGUGACAGAGCCUCUUGGCACUAUCCCUUUAUCUGGCCAGCAGGGGGCGCACUGCGGGGCGGGGCGGGGCGGGGCGGUGGGGGAACUGGUUCCUCAGGCUGUCAUCCUUUCUUCCUAGAACCUGAAGCUUUGUCCUCUCACCUGUGUACCUUCAGAAGCUCCUCCACCCCAGCCCUCCCACAGCACCUGACUGACAUCGCUAGAGAUCACUUCAGCUUUGAGACCAAGUCAGACUUGAACUUUGCAUAGGAGCUGUCCUCUCCCUAGUUUCCCUCAUGCUGGGCAGUUUCUGUCCAUCACAGCACCUCUCAGAUGCUCCAGUCAAACCCUCUCAUGGAAAUUUCCACUUGGAGUUUGCAAUUGCUUAGUCUUCUUUCUCCUCCCACUUCCAACCUGAUCACUUUUCCUGAUUUUCUUUGUGAAUCGUUCUUUCCCUUCUUAUUUUCAUCUGGACUCUUUCAUUGUUCUUUGAUGGCUUUUCUCACCCAAACUCUUCUAUAAGUCCUCAUAGUGUCCACUGCCCUUCCGGCAUUACCUGGACACGUCUCCUGUUGGUCUUUCUUGGCCUUUCCCUUAUUCUUUUUCUGCCUUUUCCUUAUUCCACUGACUGUCUCACUCCACUGUUCUAAUGCCUUUAUCUACCUAAAGAAGCAUUAGGUGGGUUUGUUUUCUGCCCAGUCUGCCUCUACCAUCCACAGUUUUGCAGGGGUCUUAAAAUUUCAUUCUCUGGGGGAAGAGGUCACAUAGAUGGGGAGGACAGGGGAUGAACCACUAAAUUAAAAAACAAAAAAAACAAAGAGUCCUUAAUGCUUAAGUAGUAUUUACUGUGAACCAGACACUAUUCUUAGCCCUUUCCAUGUGUUAUUUAAUCAUCAUAGCAGCCUAUGAGUUGAGGAAUAGUAUUAUCUUUGUCUUACAGGUGAGGAAAUGGGGGCACAGAGAGGCCAAGUAAUGUGCCCAAGGUCACACAGAGGGUGGGUGGUUGAGUCAGAAUUCAAACCUUAGCAGAAUAAUGUGAGAGGCAGGCUCACCAUCAUGCUCAGCUGCCUCUGAAGAGUUGACGGUUAACAAGCAAAAGAGAGGAAGUGGCACCUACCAGACAGAUGUGCACGAUCGUGGGAACUCACACUCUGCCCCCUUUCACUGUCACACUCCCUCCCGCUUUCUUUUGCAGUCUGUUCUCCUUUUAAGAGAAGCUACUAUUUCCGUGUACAGGGAGAGCAGACAUCAAGUCACCUCUCAAGGUCUGUCUUUCUGGGAGACUCUCCCUGUUCGUCGCCGUCUUUUCCGUUUACCGUCAGCAGUCAGACUCCAGAGAGAAGGAAUUUCACCUUUUUUUGGCAGAGCACCUGAUCUGUGUUUGUGGUCUCAGGAUGGGCAGAGUGGUGGAGCUGCACAUUUUAUAAGCAGUGCAGAUGAGGCCAUCCCCCUGCGCUUUACUCAGAGAACUGCACACCCCACAGCGCAGCAGGCGAGGCUUAUUACACCAGGAUUGAAACAGCCUUCUCUGCUUUCCUUGUGGCAUCUUCUACCAAAAGGCAGUGGCCAGAGGAAGCUCUUCCUAAAGAAGCAGAUGCAAUGUCCAGCCUUGAGCUGUCCUCUCAGAACUGGGUGCCUGAACUUCCUACCACCCUUAACUGGCCCCUGCCCACCCUCACUCUGACCUCUUUUCAAACAUCUGGGUUUCACUUCCUCCCUCCCUCCCUUCCUUCCCUCCUUCCUUUCUUUCUUAGUGUACUCAAGUAUGGUGAUUAAGGAGUUAGAAUAUAAUACCUAGGGUAAAGUAAUUAGUACGAAUAAUUGCCCUGGAGAGGAAAUGAUAUAAUGAUACAAAUCGGUCCCCUCCCCCUUCUCUGUCUGUCUGUCUAUCUUCUCACUAAGGGUUAGGCAAAAUGGAAUGAGAUGAAAUUGUAGAAGAGGAGGCUUCUGGGAGCCAGUUCAAAAGGCAUAUGCAUAGAAUAGAGAGGAGUUAUUUAUCCUGCAAGGAAUUAUUUAGAUCAAUUCCUUUUUUUCUUCUUGUUAAAUUUUUAUUUAUUUAUUUUCGGCCACACCCGCAGCAUGCGGAAGUUCCCGGGCCUGAGAUUGAACCCAGACACCACAGUAACAAUGCCAAAUCCUCAACCACUAGGCCACCAGGGAACUCUCAGUUUUUCUUUUUCCCUUCAUUGUCAUUCUCCUUUCUGUAUUUCUUCCUGGGACUAUCUUUGGACUUUAGGAUAUGUUCCUUCUCUUCGCUGUCAUUAAAGCGAGCCCUAUCCCCCACAUCCUGCCCUGCCCCAUCUCCGAGACUGUCUGUUCUACAGCUCGUAGCACUCGUCCUGCUGCUUUGAGUUCCCGACAUAUGACUCACUUUGUAAAAUAUACAUGGAUGCUUCUAGCAGAGUAGGUCCUAAAUGCUGUCGGCUGUGUUCACCAGCCAGAGCCUUGUGACAGCUGGAUGCCUUUAAGAACUGAGUAGUAGGUGUGUUCGGUCAUUUGGGAGACUGGGUGGAGUCCCAUUAACAUGGGCCUGAUUUCUAAGUGAUUUUAAUGAAACAGAACAUCCUCAUUCGUGGGUACUAGCCUUCUGCUCCCCAUCUGUUUGUACAUUUGACUGUCAGACGGGAACAGAGAGGACUGCAGGCCACAACGAUAGCCAGAAGGCACAUUCCAGGCCUCUGCGCAGAGAUGUCAUGUGUGGGUCUGGCACAGCCCCACACCUUUGUUAUGUUCAUGGGGGUAUGGAAGGAUAGCUCCACUGCGGUACCCACAAAGUUUCCUACCCACUUUAGGUUGAUUGCAUCUAUGACGGUAGUCUAGGGCUUAUAGGAACCAGGCGAUGAGUUAAUGAAAAACAAUCCAUUGGCCUAAAUGAUUUUCUGUUACUCUCAUCCUCAUCCUUUCUUAUAUAGGUUUAUGGAACCCGGCGGCCCUUGGCUAAUGGAGUUAAGAUGGGUAACGGAGGGAGAAGUGAUGUAUUUGGAGGUUGUGGUGGUUGGAAAUUAAUGGACCUCCAGGAACCAGGAUACAAUCUUUUUUCCCCCCUUAAUUUUAACCUUGAUAGUGGACCAACUUCGUCAGGUAUCUCGGUCUGCUUUUCUUCUUCAAUGAAGCGGUCAUGAGUGGAUCUUUGAUGAUUCUUUCUAAAAGCACUUUCCAUCAGACAUAGGAGAUUUGCUAAAUGUAUACAGUGGCCUCGAGAUAGGCCCAAGAUUUUUUUUUCUUAAUUUUAAUAAUGUAUUUUCUAACUUAUCUUAAAUAAAGGGCCCAAAGGGAAAUUGCAGAUUAUUUGAGGUUUUAUAUUCUCUGAAUCUAUAGUAAUGGGGGAGUUCCCGUCAUGGCUCAGCGGUUAAUGACCCCAACCAGCAUCCAUGAGGACUCGGGUUCCAUCCCUGGCCCUGCUCAGUGGGUUAAGGAUCCAGUGUUGCCGUGAGCUGUGGUGUAGGUCACAGAUGCAGCUCGUAUCCUGCGUUGCUGUGGCUCUGGCCUAGGCUGGCAGCUACAGCUCUGAUUAGACCCCUAACCUGAGAACCUCUAUAUACCGUGG